rnacentral:rRNA from 1 species
GACGAACGCUGGCGGCGUGCUUAACACAUGCAAGUCGAACGGAAAGGCCCUGCUUUUGUGGGGUGCUCGAGUGGCGAACGGGUGAGUAACACGUGAGUAACCUGCCCUUGACUUUGGGAUAACUUCAGGAAACUGGGGCUAAUACCGGAUAGGAGCUCCUGCUGCACGGUGGGGGUUGGAAAGUUUCGGCGGUUGGGGAUGGACUCGCGGCUUAUCAGCUUGUUGGUGGGGUAGUGGCUUACCAAGGCUUUGACGGGUAGCCGGCCUGAGAGGGUGACCGGCCACAUUGGGACUGAGAUACGGCCCAGACUCCUACGGGAGGCAGCAGUGGGGAAUAUUGCACAAUGGGCGGAAGCCUGAUGCAGCAACGCCGCGUGCGGGAUGACGGCCUUCGGGUUGUAAACCGCUUUCGCCUGUGACGAAGCGCGAGUGACGGUAAUGGGUAAAGAAGCACCGGCUAACUACGUG